rnacentral:rRNA from 1 species
CCUACGGGUGGCUGCAGUGAGGAAUAUUGCUCAAUGGGCGAGAGCCUGAAGCAGCCAAGUCUCGUGAAGGAUGAAGGAUCUAUGGUUUGUACACUUCUUUUAUAUGGGAAUAAAGUGAGGACCGUGUUCCUUUUUGUAUGUCCCAUCUGAGUAAGCAUCGGAUAACUCCGUGCCAGCAGCAGCGGUAAUCCGGAGGAUGCGGACGUUAUCCGGAUUUAUUGGGUUUAAAGGGUGCGUAGGUGGUGAAUGAAGUCAGCGGUGAAAGUUUGUGGCUCAACCAUAAAAUUGCCGGUGAAACUGGUUGACUUGAGUAUAUUUGAGGUAGGCGGAAUGCGUGGUGUAGCGGUGAAAUGCAUAGAUAUCACGCAGAACUCCGAUUGCGAAGGCAGCUUACUAAACUAUAACUGACACUGAAGCACGAAAGCGUGGGGAUCAAACAGGAUUAGAUACCCUUGUAGUC